ensembl:lincRNA
AUGGUUGACACUCGGGGCCCCUGGGGCUGUGGGCUGCUGCUGUUCCGAGCUGGAGCUGAGGCCUCUUGCCAGAAGGGAGAGCGCGUACUGCUUGCCCAGUACCUGGGGCAGCUGGGCCUCGAGUGGCCUCCUCUGCAUCUCAUCUGCACCCAGUUCUCAAUCUACCUGAUGGAUGAACGCCUCCCCAUGGUGCCAAUGCUCAAGUGGGACCAUGGCCUGCCCUCUGCACCCCUGCUGGCCCGCCUUCUGCCCCCAGCUGCCCCUGGCUGCCCAGUGCCCCUGCUGCUGGGGGGUCAGGGUGGGCAGCUUCAGCUGUUGCACAUAGCAGGAGCUGAGUCCUCCAUGCCCCGACUGGCGGGACCCCCCAAGUCUCUGCCCUCCAUCACUGACUCCCUCUCCGCAUUUCCCCCACUGGAACCCAAGAACCAGCAGCAGCUGCAGGAACGCCUGGAGGCACCCGUCAUAGGUCUGGCUGCUGCCCCACCCUGUGCCUCUGCUCAGCUGCUGUCAGUCUUCCAACUUUCUGCCGCUGGGGACGUCUUCUACCAGCAGCUCCAACCAGCCUCCAGCCUCGGAGGAGGAUGCCCACCCAUCCUCCCAGCAGAUUGCUCUGCACAUGGGGCAGCUGCUGUGGAUCAGGUGCCCACAUCCUCCUGGACCCCCAAGGACAACGCCUGCUGCAGCCGCUGGCUGGAGACCCUCCUGCACCUGCCUCCCACUCCCCCUGUGUGGGCUGCCCCCACCUUCUCCCACCGCAGGCUUCUAGGCCACAUGGAGCUACAGAAGAGCCAGGGGACCAUGUCACAGAGGCUCCGAGCAGCAAUGGCCAGGGGGCAGCUCCUGCGACCAGAGGACCUGGGCACACGCCCCAUGGCAGAGCCACCCCCGGCACCUGAGUGCAGCCAGCAGGAUGAGCUAACAGAGCGCCUGACGGAAGCCUGGGCAGGCCGGGCAGCUGCCUGGUGGGAGGGGCAGCGGGGCCGGACCUCGGGGCCCCAGACACAGGCCAAGCGGCCCAAGCGCCGGACUCAGCUGUCCAGCACCUUCUCCUCGCUUAAAAGCCACUUGGACCACCCAGAUACCAGCAGCCCCCCUCAGAGCCCAGACUGGGUGACCACUGAGGCCAGGCCUCGGCCCCCAGGCACUCCGCCUUCUCAGGAGUCAACUCAGGAGCUAUGGGCCCAGCGAGUGCGACGGGAGCGGCGACAGACUGUCCGAGACUUCAUGGCCAAGCUGCCACUUCAGAAGGACACACCAGGAUGUGUGGGCACACCCCCCUCCCAGGCCUCCAGCCUCCAGGUUACCCCCUCCCAGCAGCAGACCCCUGCCCUCUCUGGCUCCCAGCCUCCCCGGAAGAAGCCACGCAUGGGCUUCUGAGAGAGUGGGGGGGCCAUGCCUGCCACCUGGGCUUAGCCAACAGGUCUCCGGGACAGAGCCUCUGCCUCCCGAAAGCCAGCGCGCACUUGGGGACCCAAAACCAGUUUGAAGCCAUGCUGAAGGACUAGCACAAAAAUGUCACCUGUGUUUUGUAUAUCCGUCUGCAGGUGACGCCAAGGCCAGCCACAGAUGGUGCCUCAGUGUCACUGCUGGGACUCUAGGCGACAGUGUGGGCUGGAAAGCUGGGCCUGGGUCAGCAUUUGCCUCCCACCCUGACAGGAAGCUGCUGGGUGUGGGCAGCAGCAGCUCUUGUGGGUCUGUGAAGCAGUCCACGUGGGAGCCAGUGUUUCAUAGCACAGAACGCCUUGGCAGCUCCCAGUUCAGGAUCUGAAUAAACCUGUCCACGCUCUGUGUCUAAUGCACGAAACCCCCCUGUCCACUCUGGGGAAGCACUCAAGAUGCCACAGUUGGGGUGUGUGGGGUUCUGAUAACAUCAGGGCUACCCACUUGCCAGUCCAGUAAUACUCUGA